UGGUAGUACCCAGUGCUUCGUGCUAUUAAUAGCACAGCAGUCGGACUAUAUAUAUAUAUAUAUACUACUUGGAUUUUAGGCCAAUCCAAAUAUAAAGAGAUUAUAUUAAAAUUUUAAAUUUUUUUUCAAUUUGUUACUUCAACAGUGGGGCUGACAAUUAAACUUACUGUUCACAAGUCGGUUUGUAUUCAGCUUGGUAAUAAACAAGCCGAACACAAAAUGAGUUUUUCAGCUCAAUAUUUUAAUGAGCUCGCUCGUGUUCGUGGAUGUUCACAACUUCUGCGGCAAAUACAUUUUUGCCCAAGAAUACAAAAACAAAAAAAUUGGGCGCUAGUACAUGGACCGUUGUGAUAACAUGGACAACCCGUAUGCUUUGUGUUAGUGCGAGAAUUCUUUUGGCAAAUAGGAUGGUGCCUGAAUGGUGCCUGAAAGGAGUGAAAGGGGGUUUAAUGGCUGGGAAUCCCGUGAGAUGGAUAUUGUAUUUGCCUCGACCAUGUAUUAUCUUACUUCAUGUAAUCCAAUACCGAUGGUAUGCGGUUUGGCCGAGUCACGUUGGAAUUCCGGGUCCCUUCUAGAAGCGAAGAUCAUCAGAAAGCCAAGGAAGGACGCGACAGUUUGGGAAAGUGAAAAAGACUCUUCUAGAAGGCGAACGCAAUUGCUCCAACGAACGCCAAAAGCUGACAUAUGUUAUUAGCUGUUCGUUGAAAACUAAAAGAAGCUUCGGGAGACAUCGCUAGGUUUGACCCGGUGUCCGCGCAACAUUAACCAACGACUGGUCAAAGUUGUCUCAGGCUCUCAACACAUUCACUCAGUCCGGCAUAUACUAAUUAGAAACCUUCAACUCCCCCCCUCCCCGUCAAAGCACGCGCAAUGCGUUUUAUUUUUACUUUACACGAAGUUCCCGAGAACCCACGCCAGAGCUUUAGCUUCAUCUUUGGUUGAUUCCUCGCUGGCCAUUUCGCUACGCAUGGUAUAUAUAAACAUACCCAACGUGUAGAGUUGGAGAUACUCGUGACCCUCUUCUUCUUCUACUUCUUCUCCGGUUCUCUUUCUCUUGUACUUUUAACUUCCAGGUGCAAUCCAAAUCUUACAUCCUCUUUGAUUGAUGGAGCGGAGCAACUCGUUCGGCAUGUCGUGGGCGGACCAGUGGGACUAUGGCGGCGACGCCCCGAGCGCGGCGUCACAGAAGAAGAGCGGCGGCGGCGGCGGCAAGAAAAACGGCGUCGAGAAGACGAAGGAGAUCGCCUCGAAUGGAUUUAAGAAGGUGAAGGAAGGUACCACCCAGGGGUUCCAGUGGGUUAAAGAGAAGUAUCAGAAGAGGACCCAGAAACACUAGUUUGUGAUCCCUGUAGUACGGUUGUUCUCUGUUUGUACACAUGUAUACAGAAUGAUCUAGCUUGUCGAGUAACUUUUGGUUGGUUUUGUACACGCCUCUUUUUACGUAGUAUGUAUGUUGAUUUGUUGAUCGAUAUCUCUUUGUUUGUUGAUUCCUUUUUGUGUUUAUUCAGAAAAAUAAAAGAAAAAAAAAAACCCAAUACUCAUGCGUGUAUCAGGAACUAA